AUUGAACGCUGGCGGCAGGCCUAACACAUGCAAGUCGAGCGGAUGAAGGGAGCUUGCUCCUGGAUUCAGCGGCGGACGGGUGAGUAAUGCCUAGGAAUCUGCCUGGUAGUGGGGGAUAACGUCCGGAAACGGGCGCUAAUACCGCAUACGUCCUGAGGGAGAAAGUGGGGGAUCUUCGGACCUCACGCUAUCAGAUGAGCCUAGGCUGGAUUAGCUAGUUGGUAGGGUAAAGGCCUACCAAGGCGACGAUCCAUAACUGGUAUGAGAGGCGGAUCAGCCACACUGGAACUGAGACACGGUCCAGACUCCUACGGGAGGCAGCAGUAGGGAAUUUUGCGCAAUGGGCGAAAGCCUGACCGAGCAAUGCCGCGUGAGUGAGGAAGGUUUUCGGAUCUUAAAACUCUUUUAUUAGGGAAGAAGAUAUGUGUAAGUAACUGUGCCUGUUUUGACGGUACCUAAUCAGAAAGCCCCGGCUAACUACGUG
rnacentral:rRNA from 1 species